rnacentral:rRNA from 1 species
GAUGAACGCUGGCGGCGUGCCUAAUACAUGCAAGUCGAGCGAACUGAUUAGAAGCUUGCUUCUAUGACGUUAGCGGCGGACGGGUGAGUAACACGUGGGCAACCUGCCUGUAAGACUGGGAUAACUUCGGGAAACCGAAGCUAAUACCGGAUAGGAUCUUCUCCUUCAUGGGAGAUGAUUGAAAGAUGGUUUCGGCUCUCACUUACAGAUGGGCCCGCGGUGCAUUAGCAAGUUGGUGAGGUAACGACUCACCAAGGCAACGAUGCGUAGCCGACCUGAGAGAGUGAUCGCCCACACUGGGACUGAGACACGGCCCAGACGCCUACGGGAGGCAGCAGUAGGGAAUCUUCCGCAAUGGACGAAAGUCUGACGGAGCAACGCCGCGUGAGUGAUGAAGGCUUUCGGGUCGUAAAACUCUGUUGUUAGGGAAGAAUAAGUACAAGAGUGACUGCUUGUACCUUGACGGUACCUAACCAGAAAGCCACGGCUAACUACGUGCCAGCAGCCGCCGUAA